UACGUAGGGUCCGAGCGUUGUCCGGAAUUAUUGGGCGUAAAGGGCUCGUAGGCGGUCUGUUGCGUCGGGAGUGAAAACUUACAGCUUAACUGUGAGCGUGCUUUCGAUACGGGCAGACUUGAGGCAUUCAGGGGAGAACGGAAUUCCUGGUGUAGCGGUGAAAUGCGCAGAUAUCAGGAGGAACACCGGUGGCGAAGGCGGGUCUCUGGGCCGAUACUGACACUCAGACACGACAGCAUGGGGAGCGAACGGG
rnacentral:rRNA from 1 species